UAAAACGUAGGAGGCAAGCGUUAUCCGGAUUUACUGGGCGUAAAGCGCGUGCAGGCGGUUUGGAAAGUUGGAUGUGAAAGCUCCUGGCUCAACUAGGAGAGGUCGUUCAAAACUUCCAGACUUGAGGGCAGUAGAGGGAGGUGGAAUUCCGUGUGUAGUGGUGAAAUGCGUAGAUAUACGGAGGAACACCAGUGGCGAAAGCGACCUCCUGGGCUGCAUCUGACGCUCAGACGCGAAAGCUAGGGGAGCAAACGGGAUUAGAGACCCCGGUAGUCCUAGCUGUAAACGAUGUGAACUUGGCGUUGGUGGGUUUAAAUCCAUCAGUGCCGUAGCAAACGCGAUAAGUUCACCGCCUGGGGACUACGGCCGCAAGGUUAAAACUCAAAUGAAUUGACGG
rnacentral:rRNA from 1 species